rnacentral:rRNA from 1 species
UGUCUCAUUAAGAUUUUUAUAAAUUAGUACUCAGGUGAAGAAACCUGAAUUUUAUUAAAAGACAAGAAGACCCUGUAGAACUUUAUUUUAAAAUAUAUUUCGAAAUAGUUUAUUUGCUACCCUGCAAAUUACUACAAACACAAUAUAUUAUAAAUUCGGUUGGGGCGACCAAGGAACAUAUCUAACUUCCUUAAUUAAAAAGGAUUUCUCCUAUUAAAGAUCCAAUAAUUUGAUCAUAAGAAUAAGCUACCUCAGGGAUAACAGACUAAUCUUUCUCAAGAGCCCAUAUUGACAGAAAGGAUUGGCACCUCG